rnacentral:rRNA from 1 species
UACGAAGGGGGCUAGCGUUGUUCGGAAUCACUGGGCGUAAAGCGCACGUAGGCGGAUUGCUAAGUCAGGGGUGAAAUCCUGGAGCUCAACUCCAGAACUGCCUUUGAUACUGGCGAUCUCGAGUCCGGGAGAGGUGAGUGGAACUGCGAGUGUAGAGGUGAAAUUCGUAGAUAUUCGCAAGAACACCAGUGGCGAAGGCGGCUCACUGGCCCGGUACUGACGCUGAGGUGCGAAAGCGUGGGGAGCAAACAGG